CAGCAGCCACGGUAAUACAGAGGAUGCAAGCGUUAUCCGGAAUGAUUGGGCGUAAAGGGCUCGCAGGCGGUUUCUUAAGUCUGAUGUGAAAGCCCCCGGCUCAACCGGGGAGGGUCAUUGGAAACUGGGAAACUUGAGUGCAGAAGAGGAGAGUGGAAUUCCACGUGUAGCGGUGAAAUGCGUAGAGAUGUGGAGGAACACCAGUGGCGAAGGCGACUCUCUGGUCUGUAACUGACGCUGAGGAGCGAAAGCGUGGGGAGCGAACAGGAUUAGAUACCCGAGUAGUCCCUGUCUCUUAUAC
rnacentral:rRNA from 1 species